GAGGGUAUAGCUCAGUGGUAGAGUGCAUGCUUAGCAUGCACGAAGUCCUGGGUUCAAUCCCCAGUGCCCUCA
rnacentral:tRNA from 1 species